rnacentral:rRNA from 1 species
GACGAACGCUGGCGGCGUGCUUAAUACAUGCAAGUCGAGCGAGGUCCAUCUGGUGGCAACACCAGUGAAGGCCGAGCGGCGAACGGGUGAGUAACACGUGAGCAACCUGCCCCGAAGUCUGGAAUAACAUCGGGAAACCGGUGCUAAUACCGGAUCGCCCCACCUGACCGCAUGAUCGGGUGAGGAAAGAUUUAUCGCUUCGGGAGGGGCGUCGCGGCCGUAUCAGCAGUUGGUGGGGUAACGGCCUACCCAAGGCAUCGACGGGUAGCUGGUCUGAGAGGACGGACCAGCCACACUGGGACUGAGACACGGCCCAGACUCCUACGGGAGGCAGCAGUAGGGAAUCUUGCGCAAUGGGCGAAAG